rnacentral:rRNA from 1 species
GAUGAACGCUGGCGGCGUGCUUAACACAUGCAAGUCGAACGGGGAUUAUUUCAUUGAAGCUUCGGCAGAUUUGGCUUAAUCCUAGUGGCGGACGGGUGAGUAACGCGUGGGUAACCUGCCUUGUACAGGGGGAUAACAGUCAGAAAUGACUGCUAAUACCGCAUAAGCGCACAGGACCGCAUGGUCCGGUGUGAAAAACUCCGGUGGUAUAAGAUGGACCCGCGUUGGAUUAGCUAGUUGGCAGGGUAACGGCCUACCAAGGCGACGAUCCAUAGCCGGCCUGAGAGGGUGAACGGCCACAUUGGGACUGAGACACGGCCCAGACUCCUACGGGAGGCAGCAGUGGGGAAUAUUGCACAAUGGGGGAAACCCUGAUGCAGCGACGCCGCGUGAAGGAAGAAGUAUCUCGGUAUGUAAACUUCUAUCAGCAGGGAAGAAAAUGACG